AUUGAACGCUGGCGGCAUGCUUUACACAUGCAAGUCGAACGGUAACAGGUUAAGCUGACGAGUGGCGAACGGGUGAGUAAUGCAUCGGAACGUGCCCGAUCGUGGGGGAUAACGCAGCGAAAGCUGCGCUAAUACCGCAUACGAUCUGAGGAUGAAAGCGGGGGACCGUAAGGCCUCGCGCGAUCGGAGCGGCCGAUGUCAGAUUAGGUAGUUGGUGGGGUAAAGGCACACCAAGCCAACGGUCUGUAGCCGGUCGGAGAGGACGACCAGCCACGCUGGGACUGGGACACGGCCCAGACUCCUACGGGAGGCAGCAGUGGGGGAUUUUGGACAAUGGGCGAAAGCCUGAUCCAGCAAUGCCGCGUGCAGGAAGAAGGCCUUCGGGUUGUAAACUGCUUUUGUACGGAGCGAAAAGGCUCUCUCUAAUACAGGGGGCUCAUGACGGUACCGUAAGAAUAAGCACCGGCUAACUACGUGCCAGCCGCCGCGGUAA
rnacentral:rRNA from 1 species